UACGUAGGGUGCAAGCGUUAUCCGGAAUUAUUGGGCGUAAAGAGCUCGUAGGCGGUUUGUUGCGUCGGCUGUGAAAUCCCGAGGCUCAACCUCGGGUCUGCAGUCGAUACGAGCAAACUAGAGUGUUGCAGGGGAGACUGGAAUUCCUGGUGUAGCGGUGAAAUGCGCAGAUAUCAGGAGGAACACCGGUGGCGAAGGCGGCCUGCUGGGCUAUGGCUGACACUGAGGCGCGACAGCGUGGGGAGCAAACAGG
rnacentral:rRNA from 1 species